GUUUCUAUUUAUGGUGGAGCCGGCGAUCGGCGUGCGGUUGGAAGUGGUGUCCCUGAGGCACCUGCUCGCCCUUUUCCUGCGCCUCCGCAACGUCGGCUGCGAAUGAGUCUCCUAAAGGACGCCCGGGAGGAUCGGAAACAGCCGAGUCCCGGCGCGGGCAGUGUCCUGCGCUCCUCCCCGGGGUCUGGCCGGGGUGGGCCCGAGGCCCCCGGGCCCCCGGUUACCGCCGCGGGCGCGUCUGCGUCCUGACCCGGAGGGACCCGCGGGCCGGGCCGUACCAGUGAUGCAAGAUGGUCCUUUCUGAGCAGAGCUCCCCUCGCUCAGUGCUCCUUUGUUUCACGUAGAAGAUCUUCUUGAGGGGACUGUGUGGCCAGUGCAGCCCAGGCCUCCCCACCCUGCACCGUUCAACAGAAGAGCAGCUGACGCAGGGGGCCCUCAACAUGCUCACCCAAAAGUCAGCGAGAUUCUGCACCGGCCCACUAGCCUUCCAAUUGUAAACUAAAAAUAAAAUCUUGGCCAGGCA
rnacentral:lncRNA from 1 species